AUUGAACGCUGGCGGAAUGCUUUACACAUGCAAGUCGAACGGUAGAGGGGGCAACCCCUCGAGAGUGGCGAACGGGUGAGUAAUAUAUCGGAACGUGCCCAGUCGUGGGGGAUAACGUAGCGAAAGUUACGCUAAUACCGCGUACGAUCUAAGGAUGAAAGCGGGGGAUCGCAAGACCUCGCGUGAUUGGAGCGGCCGAUAUCAGAUUAGGUAGUUGGGGGGGUAAAGGCUCACCAAGCCAACGAUCUGUAGCUGGUCUGAGAGGACGACCAGCCACACUGGAACUGAGACACGGUCCAGACUCCUACGGGAGGCAGCAGUGGGGAAUUUUGGACAAUGGACGCAAGUCUGAUCCAGCCAUUCCGCGUGCAGGAUGAAGGCCCUCGGGUUGUAAACUGCUUUUGUACGGAACGAAAAGGUCUCUCUUAAUACGGGGGACUCAUGACGGUACCGUAAGAAUAAGCACCGGCUAACUACGUGCCAGCAGCCGCCGUAA
rnacentral:rRNA from 1 species